rnacentral:rRNA from 1 species
UUGAGACUUCGGUGGAUUUGAUCUAUUUCUAGUGGCGGACGGGUGAGUAACGCGUGGGUAACCUGCCUUAUACAGGGGGAUAACAGUCAGAAAUGGCUGCUAAUACCGCAUAAGCGCACAGAGCUGCAUGGCUCAGUGUGAAAAACUCCGGUGGUAUAAGAUGGACCCGCGUUGGAUUAGCUAGUUGGUGGGGUAACGGCCCACCAAGGCGACGAUCCAUAGCCGGCCUGAGAGGGUGAACGGCCACAUUGGGACUGAGACACGGCCCAGACUCCUACGGGAGGCAGCAGUGGGGAAUAUUGCACAAUGGGGGAAACCCUGAUGCAGCGACGCCGCGUGAAGGAAGAAGUAUCUCGGUAUGUAAACUUCUAUCAGCAGGGAAGAUAGUGACGGUACCUGACUAAGAAGCCCCGGCUAACUACGUGCCAGCAGCCGCGGUAAUACGUAGGGGGCAAGCGUUAUCCGGAUUUACUGGGUGUAAAGGGAGCGUAGACGGUGUGGCAAGUCUGAUGUGAAAGGCAUGGGCUCAACCUGUGGACUGCAUUGGAAACUGUCAUACUUGAGUGCCGGAGGGGUAAGCGGAAUUCCUAGUGUAGCGGUGAAAUGCGUAGAUAUUAGGAGGAACACCAGUGGCGAAGGCGG